ensembl:lncRNA
AUGAAAUGUGCAGUCAUGUUCCUCUGUAAACAGAACUACCAUCAAGAAGGAUAUGUGUUGUUUAUUCUCUUGUGCCUCUUUUAUGCCAGAAUGAAUAAAUACCAAAACUCCUUGUUUCAGAGGCAGCCUCUGCUUCAGCCCAGGUCAGCCAGGCAGACCUGCCCCACUCCCAGUGAUUCCCAAAAUGAAAAACGGAUUGGACGACUGACAAUGAGGCGAGUCAAUGUCCCAGAGCUGGAUCAGAGGUUUACUGAUGUCGCUGAGUCCUUCAAUGAGCAGCAGGAGCACCACGAGGCCAUGCUCCAACACAUCAGAAACCUGAAACAGAGCUGGGACUGCACUGGCACUGAUACUCAGAACUUUGCUGACUGUAUUAAGAAGAUUCGGGAUGAGCAGCAGGCCACGUACCGGAUCUCCUUGAAGAUGAAGUGCUAUGACUUCUCCCUCACCGUGGAGCCUGUUCAGGAAGAACACGAUGAGCAGCCACUGCCUCCAAAUCUGAAGUUAGCACAGGAUGAAAUCAAGGGUCUUUCUGACAGCGCCAAGGCCACUGUAUCAAAGGGAACGCCACUUCAGCAGCUCAUCAGCUGGAUGCUGCAGGGACAGGGUCAGAUGGCUCAGCAGGUGAAGGAGGCAGCGGGAACUUUCCAAGAGCAAGGAAGACUGACUGCGAAUCUGGAUGAGAACAUCAAGGAAGUGAGGAGGGCAAAGGAGUUGUCGCUGGGAUACAGGAAAGUGGCUGCAGAGGUUUACAACGAGGCUGCACAGAUAGCUGGAGUUUGUGUCUAA